GGCGGGUGACCCCCCGUCCUGGAAAAGGUAAGGAAAGAGGCUCCCCCGGCCCCCGGAGCCUCCAGGAAGGACCCCAGCGCCGCCAGCACCUUGAUUCCAGCCCGCCGAGGACUUCUGACGCACAAACCGUAAAAUAAUAGACUUGCAUUACGUUAAGCCACUAUAACCUUGGUGAUUUGUUAACAGCGGCAACAGGAAACGAAUACAACCCCUUAAAGAAGUUCGCACCCCAUGCCCGGCGGUGCUUUGUGGACAAGGCUUGGGUUUAUUUUCAUUAUCGUGACUUACGCAUCAACUACACUGCGGAAGAUCUUGACAGGGUCGGCGGCACGGGGUGGGUGGCCUACUUUUGUCCUGAAAGCAUACACCUUGCACUUGAAAACAUUUUUGAGCCGGGCUCGUGCAACCCUUUGCCGAGCGCGGCAGAGGAGAGCUGCACGCGAUUCCCCGAGGGCCGAAUCCGCCGGAAUCUGGGCCGAUGAAUUUCGGUGUAUCGCUUCUGCCUGCUCUGCGCAUGCUCGGAGAAACCGCGGAGCCGUCGCUGUGGCCAAGCGCGUGGCCAAGACGCGCGUAAGUAGUAAGGUUGCAGGAUGGCGCCUGCCUGUGCCUCCCGCCAACAUUUGGGGUGCGGUAAACAAUGAUGACAAGGGGCGAGGCAAAGCAAGAGACGACUCAUCAAGGAACAGAUUUUUAAUAACGCUUUACAAGGAUUUUUCCUAGAGGACAGUGGUUAACGUGAGCAUGUGGUUAUCUAAUCAUCCGGGGACGCCGAAAGUGACACUUUUGAGCAGUCAGCUUCAGAAAUUCAAUCCGAAUGGCGAACACCUCCCUUACCCAGGGAAACUUAAGGAAGCUAAGAAUCGGAGCCCCGAGGUGACCUUGGGAGCAUCUUCCCCGGGGAAGACAACUGGGUGUCGUAUCCAGGCCCAUUGGUUUUAUGAAGCUGGGAGAAAUGAUAAUGAAUUGAAUGCCCCUCUCUGAGCUCCUCCCGGGAGGAGGGGGCAUCACAACCGGUUAGAAGAAAGUGUCGUUGGGGGAACGGGAGGGAAGAGAACCUAAAGGAAGGAAAGGAAGAUUCUCACGGGGCUGGGAUGCCCCAUUCCAUUCAAUUAAAUGGGAAGAGCACCCACUAUAUUUCAGACUCCGCUCUUGGUAUUUGAGAUAAAAGGAUGAACAUGGGCACAGACACCCAUGUCCUGGCAUCUCGGAAGAGGCUAGAGACUGAAAACCAAAGAAAUUACAAGACAAUGUCGUAAGCGCAGCCUCUGAGAAUGGACAGAGGGGAGAGCCGAGCUCAGAGGAUGGCAUUGUUAGAUCAGGUAUCCUGGAGGGCUCCCCGAAGGAGGUGCUGUUGGAGUUGUUCGCCAGAAGAAACUGCCGGUCCAUGGCUGUACCUGGCUAGCUUCCCCAUCUCUUGUCAUGUGUAUGUCCUCUCCGUGGGCAAUCUGCUUCCCCUUCAUUCUGUCUGGGUCACUAGGCAAGUGUAGGGUUAUCAGGGGAUCUGUCAGUAAAGGUUCCGUGGCCGCCUUGGGCACCCAAGGUGAUGUCUGUGCAGGUGUCAGAGUGGGUAGAACCAGGCAGUGGUCUCACAAUAGACCAGAAGGACCAAUCAGAACAGCGACUCUGCAGAGGCAGAGACCAGAGCAGGUGGAUGUGGGGGAAAGGGCCCACUGAAGCAAAGCUCCAUGAUCCGUGUGAAGGACAUGGGCAUGAGAAAGGAUUCAGCCACCGGGCUGUGGACAAGGUCUUGUGUGAGGCCACACCCCUCUGACUCAAGCUCCUGCAUACCGGGACCCUAGUGACAUCACAGUCUUUCUGCCCUACAGGUUCUGGAACAUCGUCUCUUUAAGACCCAGAAUUGAUCGAAACCUUGAUGCCAAUGGACUGGUUUGUAAGAAGGACCACAGCUGUCAACUGGGUUUGGAAACACCUCUCAGCCAGACCAGUGAACUCCCUGGGGUGUGGUUUAGGGAGCUCGCGCGUGACCGAAGCGAGGCUCUCUCCCGGACACAUCCCUCUUUGAAGGCAGUGACUUCUUCCCGGCUUAUCCCUCAAGGCCAUUAUGUGUCUCCUCUGACCCACCAGUAUUGAUUUUAAAAUUUAACUCUAAAAUGGAAAAAUUUGGUUUCCAAUGUCUACAGGAGCCCGGGAGGGGAAUCCAACCCUUGGCUCAGCUCUCACAUGUGCACCCAUAUACGAGGCAGAGGGGCUUAUAUGGCUGCUAUUCCUGUGAGAAAAUUUAAAAUCACCGUUAAAGAUUAUGCCUCGUAAUGAACAGGUUUAAAUCUGUUUUUAGAGAAAUAGAAAGCUCAAACGUUGA